rnacentral:rRNA from 1 species
GGGUUGUGAGGUUAAGCGACUAAGCGUACACGGUGGAUGCCCUGGCAGUCAGAGGCGAUGAAGGGCGUGCUAAUCUGCGAUAAGCGCCGGUAAGGUGAUAUGAACCGUUAUAACCGGCGAUACCCGAAUGGGGAAACCCAGUGUGAUUCGUCACACUAUCAUUAACUGAAUCCAUAGGUUAAUGAGGCGAACCGGGGGAACUGAAACAUCUAAGUACCCCGAGGAAAAGAAAUCAACCGAGAUUCCCCCAGUAGCGGCGAGCGAACGGGGAGGAGCCCAGAGCCUGAAUCAGCAUGUGUGUUAGUGGAAGCGUCUGGAAAGGCGCGCGAUACAGGGUGACAGCCCCGUACACAAAAGCGUAUGUGCUGUGAGCUCGAUGAGUAGGGCGGGACACGUGGUAUCCUGUCUGAAUAUGGGGGGACCAUCCUCCAAGGCUAAAUACUCCUGACUGACCGAUAGUGAACCAGUACCGUGAGGGAAAGGCGAAAAGAACCCCGGCGAGGGGAGUGAAAAAGAACCUGAAACCGUGUACGUACAAGCAGUGGGAGCACC